rnacentral:rRNA from 1 species
UACGGGGGGAGCAAGCGUUGUUCGGAUUUACUGGGCGUAAAGGGCGCGUAGGCGGCCACCGCAAGUCGACUGUGAAAUCUCCGGGCUUAACCCGGAAAGGUCAGCCGAUACUGCGGGGCUAGAGUGCAGAAGGGGCAACUGGAAUUCUCGGUGUAGCGGUGAAAUGCGUAGAUAUCGAGAGGAACACCUGCGGCGAAGGCGGGUUGCUGGGCUGACACUGACGCUGAAGCGCGAAAGCUAGGGGAGCAAACGGG